UACGUAGGGUGCGAGCGUUAAUCGGAAUUACUGGGCGUAAAGCGUGCGCAGGCGGUUCGUUGUGUCGGCGGUGAAAGCCCCGGGCUUAACCUGGGAAUGGCCGUUGAAACUGGCGAACUGGAGUGUGGCAGAGGGGGGUGGAAUUCCACGUGUAGCAGUGAAAUGCGUAGAGAUGUGGAGGAACACCGAUGGCGAAGGCAGCCCCCUGGGCCAAAACUGACGCUCAGGCACGAAAGCGUGGGGAGCAAACAGG
rnacentral:rRNA from 1 species